ACUUCAUGAUUUGGGCAUUGAACAAGCUUACCAUUAAACCUCUCCCAAGCUUCAAAGAAUGGUUCUCUAUUAAUUUGCCAAAAAUUCACAAUCUCGUCCACUUUUGAAGCA
rnacentral:snoRNA from 1 species